GGAGAGAUGGCUGAGUGGUUGAUAGCCCCGGUCUGAAACC
rnacentral:tRNA from 1 species